AUUGAACGCUGGCGGCAGGCCUAACACAUGCAAGUCGGGCGAGUGGCGGACGGGUGAGUAAUGUAUGGGGAUCCGCCAGAUGGAGGGGGAAAACUACGGGAAACGGGAGAUAAUAACGCAUAACAUCAGAUGAACCCAUAUGGGAUUAUCUCGUAGGUGAGGUAACGGCUCACCUAGGCGAAGAUCCCUAGCUGGUCUGAGAGGAUGAUCAGCCACACUGGGACUGAGACACGGCCCAUACUCCUACGGGAGGCAGCAGUGGGGAAUAUUGCACAAUGGGCGCAAGCCUGAUGCAGCCAUGCCGCGUGUGUGAAGAAGGCCUUCGGGUUGUAAAGUACUUUCAGUCGGGAGGCGUUACCUACAGAAGAAGCACCGGCUAACUCCGUGCCAGCAGCCGCGGUAAUUC
rnacentral:rRNA from 1 species